rnacentral:rRNA from 1 species
UACGAAGGGGGCUAGCGUUGUUCGGAAUCACUGGGCGUAAAGCGCACGCAGGCGGAUUGAUAAGUCAGGGGUGAAAUCCCGGGGCUCAACCUCGGAAUUGCCUUUGAUACUGUCUGUCUUGAGUUCGGGAGAGGUUGGCGGAAUUCCUAGUGUAGAGGUGAAAUGCGCAGAUAUCAGGAGGAACACCGGUGGCGAAGGCGGAUCUCUGGGCCGUAACUGACGCUGAGGAGCGAAAGCAUGGGGAGCGAACAGG